GGGUGACAGGUGGUGCAUGGUUGUCGUCAGCUCGUGUCGUGAGAUGUUGGGUUAAGUCCCGCAACGAGCGCAACCCUCGACCUUAGUUGCCAGCAUUCAGUUGGGCACUCUAAGGUGACUGCCGGCUAAAAGUCGGAGGAAGGUGGGGAUGACGUCAAAUCAUCAUGCCCCUUAUGACCUGGGCUACACACGUGCUACAAUGGGCGGUACAAAGGGUCGCGAACCCGCGAGGGGAGCCAAUCCCAAAAAGCCGCUCUCAGUUCGGAUUGCAGGCUGCAACUCGCCUGCAUGAAGCCGGAAUCGCUAGUAAUCGCGGAUCAGCAUGCCGCGGUGAAUACGUUCCCGGGCCUU
rnacentral:rRNA from 1 species